rnacentral:rRNA from 1 species
GGGGAAUUUUGGACAAUGGGCGCAAGCCUGAUCCAGCCAUGCCGCGUGCAGGAUGAAGGCCUUCGGGUUGUAAACUGCUUUUGUACGGAACGAAAAGGUGCCUUCUAAUAAAGGGCGCUCAUGACGGUACCGUAAGAAUAAGCACCGGCUAACUACGUGCCAGCAGCCGCGGUAAUACGUAGGGUGCGAGCGUUAUUCGGAAUUACUGGGCGUAAAGCGCGUGCAGGCGGGCGGGCAAGUCUGAUGUGAAAGCCCCGGGCUUAACCUGGGAAGUGCAUUGGNAACUGCUCGUCUUGAGUACUGGAGAGGAAGGGGGAAUUCCCGGUGUAGAGGUGAAAUUCGUAGAGAUCGGGAGGAAUACCAGUGGCGAAGGCGCCCUUCUGGACGGUAACUGACGCUGAGACGCGAAAGCGUGGGGAGCAAACA